rnacentral:lncRNA from 1 species
UUGCUCGGAUUGCUUCGAGCAUCGACAGGCACAGAUGGUUGGGGCCUGAAAAUGGCACACUAGAUUGAGUAUCUUGCAAUGCAAGCAAAGCACUGGGGUAUAAGUAAAGAAAUGGCGAGCACCUUUUUGCAUCGGAGGUCUGUCAGGCAAUGGUAAGUUAUCUUUCUCCAUGGAACUGCCAAGUUGUGGUGAAUUGUCCUUUUCAGCAACAGACUCAUUAACUGAUCCUACUGUUUCAAUGGCCUGUGAGAAGAAACACACAUAAAUAAGCAUAGAAGGAAGGAGAAGUUUGAAAAUACAGAUGAUCUGGAAGUUACCAAGCUCUCUUUGUCUGUGUCAACAAACUGCUUUGUCUUUAAAAAGAAUGCACUGAGAUUUUGCACUAACAUACUUGAACAGCUUCAGAGAUUCCAGUAAUCACUCUAAUGACAUCUACGCAAGCAAAGAAGAGUUAUUAUAAAAUCACCACCAAACAAACGAGAGAAAAGAUGAUUAGUCACAAAAUCACUUGUAAAGCGUUCAGGCAUAUCUGUAGGCCUAGGGAGCUGAGCUAUUGGAGUCAAUGCAUACGUACAGAAGGGGAACUCUGCUUCCAUUCCAGUUCUCUCCACAAGUUCAGUGCGCUUUAUAAACUUAAUCAUUAAAUGACCUUCCACUGGUCUAAAAACAUACUUCCACGGGAAUACCAGGAACUUCUGAAACUCGACGGUGUACAAAACUGCAAAGCAAAGCAAAACAACAGAAAAUGAGAUAGAAAAACAAGAAGCCUUAAACAUCAGUCAGAAAUUUCAAGCUGUAGUUGCAUGGAAAUGGUAAAUAAAAUGGUACCGGCGUUUAUAGGACCAUAGGCAUGGCCUGACUGGAUUUCAUCUAGAUAUUCGUUAAGCUUCAUCUUAGUAAUCUCAAGCCACAUUGGACUACAUGUAAAAAUAGUAAAAGUAUCAGGGGCCUCAUCCACUCAACAAAUUGUAAGACCAUCCUGAAAGUUCUCCUGGUAGUAACGCCGACCAGUGGUAUGGCUGGACGGCACAAUCGUUUUCAUCGGCAAAAGAGAACCAAUAAGAUGAUGGACCUGACCACAAAUUUUGAAGAUAUUAACCCCCG